AAGACCUUGCACUUUUGGAGCGGCCGAUGUCUGAUUAGCUAGUUGGUGGGGUAAUGGCCUACCAAAGCUUCGAUCAGUAGCUGGUCUGAGAGGACGGCCAGCCACACUGGGACUGAGACACGGCCCAGACUCCUACGGGAGGCAGCAGUGGGGAAUUUUGGACAAUGGGCGCAAACCUGAUCCAGCCAUGCCGCGUGAGUGAAGAAGGCCUUCGGGUUGUAAAGCUCUUUCAGCCGGGAAGAAAAGGUUGCGAUUAAUAAUCGCAAUUUAUGACGGUACCGGAAGAAGAAGCACCGGCUAACUACGUGCCAGCAGCCGCGGUAAUACGUAGGGUGCGAGCGUUAAUCGGAAUUACUGGGCGUAAAGGGUGCGCAGGCGGUUUUGUAAGUCAGAUGUGAAAUCCCCGGGCUUAACCUGGGAAMU
rnacentral:rRNA from 1 species